AAGCAUCUAAAGAAAUGUGUUCAGAGAUCUUUAGUUCAGUUUCAGUACAAAGCAUCAUCGCAACAGUUAUUUAUAAAGUUGUUUCUCUCAUACUUAAUAUUAUAGAGUUAGAACUGUUGAGCAAUGAACAAUCAUGCAACAGUUACAUAAGUCGAUACAAAAGCACACGUGAGAAGACAGGCAUACUCCAGUAGAAAAGACAGGGCGGGACAGAAUUAAUCUAGACAGGUCCGUUUUGUUGGAUCGGAGCACCUGGUGCACCAGUUCGUCCGGAGCACAGGAUACGUUCAGCUCCCCUUGCCCUCUCAUCCUGUCCCUCUCUUUUUAAUCCAAUGGCUGGCUGAGGUUGGAUCGGAGCAACUGGUGCACGAGUUCGUCCGGAGCACAGGAAACGUUCUCAGUAUGACCCAUACCAUCGCUUCCAUAUUUUUAGACCAUUGUCUAUAUGGACAUAAAGACAAUCAAAUUUAGACAAGGAAAUGCUCUUAGUGUGACCAGCCAUGUGCAUGAGAGACUGAAAUCACUACAAGAUUUAACAGCAAAGUAAAAGGGAACCAAAGCCAAUUAUAAAUACUAAAUUAACGCAUCUUUAUUGUGUGACUGCAAAACGGCAUGGAUCUGGCGGAUUAGUCAUGGAUCCACGUACUGCAUCGCGUUUCAUGGCGCGGUGCUCUCUCAGGUUGAGGCAACGACAACUCA
rnacentral:lncRNA from 1 species